CGCGAGGCCGGGCCGUAAGGUGGGAGAAUAGAAGGGGUAAAGGCGGCCGGAGGGAAGGAAGGAGGGAGCAGCAGCAGCAGGAGGAGGAGGCUGAGGAGCUGUGGCUGAGGAGGAGAUGGCACCUGCACAGGCCAUUUUCAGGUUGGGUCUGCCUGCGGAGGACUUGGAUGGACAGGGCCAUUCCAGGGCUUUUGGACUUGUCUGUUCCAGGAAGCUGGUCAGCCUUGGCUUGGACAGUGGCAGGAGCUUUGUUAGGCUCCUCUCUGAGGAUGAUUCCCCUCAGGAAAAGAAGAGGCAAGCAACAAGUGUCUGGAAAGAAUCCAUCCCACUGUUUGCAGGGGUCACAGUGGAAGCUGAGAAAAACAAACGCAAUACUCGAGAAAGCAAAGUGACCAGCCUCAUGGCAUAAUCUACUCUCCUGGCAGAAACUGAUUUUCCUUGGAGAUGAGGUAACAGAGGAAACUAAAGAUAUCUAAACAUACUGAUAUGGACACACAAAAACUAUAUAGGCCAUACACUUUUUAUACCAAUAAAAUAGACAGCUAGUUACAUUUUUUUUUAAAGAGAAAAAACUAAAUUGCUCACAUUAAAAAUGAAAAAGGAGCACUUACAACUGAAAAGAAAAUAAAGGAAAUUAUAAACUGUUCACCAAUUAUAUGUAACAAAACUGAUAACUUAAGAGAAAUGGUAAAUACUUACAAAAAUAGAGAGAUUAACAAAGGCUAUGUAAAUAGCCCACUGUCAGAAAAAGACACUGAACAAGCCAUAAAUGAACUUCUAAGGAAAAAAACUCCAUGACCAGAUGGAUUUGUAAGUUCUAUCAAUCAUUUGAAAAACAAUUCCAAUAGGACAAAAUUAUUUGUAAUAAUUAAUCCCCUUUUCAAUCUCUCUGAGGCAAAUAUGAUCUUGAUACAUAAACUAGAGACAAAGCAGAGAAAGAAAAAAUUCAAACCAAUAUCCUUGAUGAACACUGAAGCAAAAAUUUUUAAAGAAAAUAUUAGCUAGUAGAUCUCAACAACAUAUUAAAAUGAUGACACACUCUGACCCAAUUUAUACCAACAAUGUAGUGUUGAAUCAAUAUAAAGAGAUUAAAUAAAACAAAUCAUAUUACUAUAGAUAACAAAAAUUUUCAUUAUAUUAACAGAAGCCAAAAAAUAUUUUUGACAAAACCUAUUGUUUUAUUAAAAACUCUGAAGUACUCAGGAUUAAGUGGACCUUUGCUUGAUAUAAUAAUAUCUAUCUAAACACAAGAACAAAUAUUACAUAUAAUGUAGGUAAGGUAGAAGUCUGUUUCCAGUAAGAUUAGGGGUAAAGCAAGAAUACUCAUUAUCACUAUUAUUUAACAGAUGCUAGCUGUACCAAUAAGAGAAGAGAAAAAAAAUUUUUUCCAAGUGAUAUAAGGAUUUACUUUAAAAACCUUAGUUAGGGGCAGCUAGGUGGCACACUGGAGCCAGGAGGACCCCACUUUACAAUUGAUCUCAGCCACUAGUAUACUUGACACUUACUAAACUAUGUGAUCCUGAGCAAGUCAACUGCCUCAGCCCCGCCCCCCCAUACUCUAGUUAAUCAAAACAUUAAUUGAAACAAUUGGUAAAUUCAGAAACAUUUCAGAUUAUAAAAUAAAUUCAUACAAAUCAUUAGCAUUCCUCUAUGUUACCAAUGAAAUGUAGUAGGUACAGCCAGAAAGAGAAAUUCCAUUAAAAUAACUACAUAAUAGCUGGGACUAUUUCUAUCAAAAUGUAACCCAAAAUUAUAUGAAUCCAACUAUGAAAGACUCCAGAAAUAGAUACCUAAACAAUUGUGGAAACAUUGAUUGCUCAUUAGAUUGAACCUAGUAAUACAAUAAAAUGAUGUCACUUCCUAAAUUAAUUUCAAUGUUCUAUCAAUUUUACCACCAAAGAAAUAUUUUACAAAGCUAGAAAAAAUUAUAACUUCAUUUAAAGGAACAAAAGGAAAAAAGCUCAAGAAUAAUUAUGAAAAAGUAUUGGAAAGGAAAAUCAUACUACAAAGUAAUAAUUGUUGUUUGGUAUUGAUUAAAAAAUGAAGAAGUCAAUAAUUAGAAUAGAUUAUUUAUACAAUACAAAAUCACUAUUAGAGAAAUGUACCUCAUACCCAUCAGGCUGGCUAAGAUAACAAGAAGAAAGCAAUUUCGAACUAUCCUAAGAAACCUAAAAAAUCCCCCCCCCCAAACCCUCAAAAAACCUGAGUUAGCACCACUAUUAUUGGCCUAUACCCCAAAGAGUUCAAAAAAAGAGAAAAAGGAUUAUAUACCCCCAAUUUUUUUUAACAACUCUUUUUGUUGUAGUCCAAAAUUAGAAACUAUGGGGAUAUCUUCCUUUUAAAGAAGACAAAACAAACUGUGGACUAUGGUACACGAUUGCAAUAGAAUAUUGUAAGAAGUGGCAAAAUUGCCAGUUACAAAAAGGAAAUUGGCUUUCAUGUUCUUGUGGUCUGAAAUUACAAGGUCCAGCUAAAAUCCCUCCUUUACUCUAGGAACUGUUGGGUUAACCAAACUCUUGGUAGUCUCUGUCAUUCUUACCACUUCUCCUGUCACGUUAAAAUAGUAUCCUGCUGUUAGAUGAUGCCAUUGCUCAGAUAAUGGUUGCAGCAAUACAAGAGGCAAGUUUUCAUACACUGACACUGACAGACUGAGACACUGCACAUCCAAGCCAAAUUUUCUUGUGCUCCACUUAAAGAGACUAAGUCUAAUCUAACUUUGUUAAUAAAAUACCAGUCAGCAACCUAGAUACAUCCCUCCCAAAACAAAAUAAAACGGGUAAGGCUGAAGCCAUUGACUUCUGUGGCUGAAAACUGGCUUGAAUUUGACUAGCUGCUACUUGUAAAGCUAGACUGCCUGUGUUAGCAGUUGUCCCAUACUAUCUAGGACUGAUAGGCAGUUGUUAAGCAACUCUUACAUCAAACCCUAUUAGUUCUGAUUUUAAUGGUCAGCAUAUGAGAUGCCAUAUGCAACCACACACUGCAUUCUCAUUUCCCAGUGCCCCCUUCAAAUAUUCUGAAAAGGUCUUCUGGCUAGGCGUCAUGCUUAAUUAUAUACCUCACCGUAUCACUGAGGAAAUGGUGAGAGCUGAUUCAAAUCCAUCAAGGUAAAUAACCUGUUCCUAUGAACCUCCUGUCCAUCCCUACUAUCAGCAACAGCAUAUUUACUCCAUUCAUCUUGUGAGGAGGAAAUAGGGGUUCAACAUAGGCUUUGGGGGAUGUUUAUCCAUCUCAUUUACUUAUAAAAAUUGCCUUAUGCAAGAGGUUAUUCUUAGAGACCACUAUUCUUAAAAUAAAAGAGACACACAGGGUAAAACUAAAAGUACUGUGUCUAAUUUUUGCUAUGGUGUUAAACAGCAGCACUUUGUGGGAUAGUGAAGAACUGUAAACAAAAUAGAGUUCUAUCUAUUACCUGGAGUGUUACUGAACAAAUUGUGGUAUAUGAAUGUAAUUCAGCUUUAUUGUACCUUAAAAAUAAUGAACUGAUAGAGUAAGAGAAUUUUGCAAAGACCUGUAGGAACUGAUACAUAUUGAAAUGAGCAGAAUCAGAACAAUUUAUAUGACAGAUAUAUUAAUAAUAUGAGGAGAAACAAUUUUGAAAAACUUCAGUGCUCUGACCAAAGUAAUAACCAAUCAAUAACCAAUCUAAAAUAAUGAAGCCUAUCUUUUGAAUAUGGCAGAAAGGUGAUUGAAUAGAAGUACAGAAUGAAAUAUAAUUAAUCUAUUGAUGUAUUGUGCUUAAUUUUGCAUAAGAUAGGACUUCCAUUUUGUAUGUGUGUGGGAGAAUGGAUUAGAGACAAUAAACAAGAACAUCAAUGUAACAUUUUAAGAUGCAGAGAAGGAAAAAAUGGUGCACAAGAUGAUACAGAACAAUUUUGUAACAGGGGCAGGAAAGAAGAUAAACAUUUAAUUAUUAUCUCCUAUGUGCCAGAAACUGCUAAAUGCCUUUUUAAAAAUUCAAAUAUUAUCUGUGCUCUGAAGAAAUUAAGAGAAGAACCCAAAUGCCUUUUUAAAAUUCAAAUAAUAUCUUUUCUCCAAAGAAAUUAAGAGAACCCAACUAUUUUUAUAGUACCUCUUUUUGCAGUGACAAAGAACUGAAAACUGAAGAGAUGCCUAUCAAUUAAGGAAUAGCCCAACAAAUAUGUUAUAUAAAUAUAAUGGAAUAUAAUUGUGCCAUAAGAACAAUGAAAUGGUUUCAGAAAGACUUAGGAAGGCUAAUUAGUUAUAAACUGAUGCAAAAUAAAGUGAGUAGUAGAAUGAAAAUAAUAAUUUGUACAAUAACAACACUGAAAAUUUAUUUUGAAACUCGUAAGAACUCUGAUCAAUGCAAUGAGGAACCAUGAUUCUAGAAAACCAAUAAUGAAACAUGCCAUUUACUUCCUGAUAAACAGAUGAUGGGUUCAAAUGAGACAUAAUUUUUUUUGCACAUGGCUAAUAUAGAAAUGUUUUGUUUGAUUAUGCAGAUUUAUUACAAGGAUUUUUGUCUUCUCCCCAGUAGGGGAAGAAGUGAGAAAAAUAGAAAAUUGCUUUUUGAUAAUGGAAAAAAAGAAAAGAUCAUGGGUGGUAAUAAUGAUUUCAAGCAAGGAAACAGUAAAAAUAAGCAUGGUUAAAGGAAAUGAACAGGGAAAUUACAUUAUGCUUAAAGGCACCCACCACAGAUAAAAAAAAAAUUAAGUUUAAUACAUGUGGAGUGCCAUCUGAAUAUUUAAAAGAAAAAUCCAUUAAUUCACAGGGAGAAAUAAACAGCAAAACAAUAGAGUUUGUGACCUCAAUAUGCCCUUUUCAAACCUAGACAAAUACACAAAAAGAUAAAAAGUUAACCUGAAGAGAGUUUUAUUAAGGUUAAUUAGCUUAAGAAAGUCCCCUAGCAAUUACUGAGUAUAAUGGCUUAUGCAUAUUUCUUUGCUUUGCAUGGUACCUUUAAAAAAUUGUCUUAUGCUAGGACAUAAGAAUCUUAUGAACUCAUGAAACAGAAAUGUUAAUCAUAUCCUUUACAGACCUGAACACACACAAAAGAUGAUAAUCAAUAAAGGGUCUUUGAAGAACAGAUUCAAACUGAAAUUUAAAUUAAAUCAUUCAAUACUAAAUAAUUGGUAGCUCAAAGAACAUGUAGAAAAAUACAUAAUUUUAUCAAAAAAAUAAUAAUGAGACAAUAUAUAAAUAAUGUAGGGAUAUAAUUGGAAAAAAAAUUUGUUAUCUCUAAAUACUUUAAUUGACAAAACUGAGAGAACAGAUCAAUGAAUUAGGCAUGCAACAAGAAAAACUAGAAAGGUAACCAAAAAAGAACCACCUAAACAUAAAAAAUAGAAAUUCUAAAAAUCAAAAAAUUAAACUGCAUUGAAUUUAUAAAUAAAAUGAGCUUUGGGGAAGGAAAAUGGAAAUAGUAAAAGAUAUCCUUUGGGCUAAUGUGAUUUUUUUUUUAAAGACAGGGAAACUAAAUGGCCAAAAUCAAAAGUGAAAAAAUGAGAAUUCACAAAAUUGGAGGUGAAAUACAUAAAACAGCUAAUCACAUAAAAAAAAUUGAUAAAAAGUAAAGAUGAAUAUUUUAAUAAAUUGUGAAAAAGAGCAAGAAAUUAAAAAAAAUAAAUCCAACCUCAGAAAAAGAAACUGAACAAUUCACAAAGGAAUCCUAGAAGAAAAUAACACAGGAUCAGAUGGAUUUACAAAUGAAAUCUAUUAAACAUUCAAAGAACAAUUUCAUUGUUAUAUACAGGAAAGAAGAGAUCCUACCUAAUUCUAUGAGGAAAAUAAUCUCCUGAUACCUAAAACUAAGAAAAAAUAUAGUUAAAAUUAUAGCCCAAUAUUUCUAGUUAAUAUUAAAACAAAUAUUGAGUUUGCAAAAAUGCUGCUGCAAAAUUAUAACAAGAUUAUGAAAUACAACCUGAAUCUAUACCAGGAAUGCAACUGGUUCAAUAUUAGAAAAACUAAAUAUAUAUGCCAUGUUUAUAAUACAAUGCAAACUGUAAAAUUAUCAUUACAUGUUAAUUGUUAUGGAGUUACCUCUAGGGCUAUGUCCUGGAUGCUUCUGGAUCCAUAAAACUUCUUUAUCAUUGAUAUGCUCUAUUUCUAGUUUUAGUUUCUGGAACAGAUAGGACUAGGCUUAGAUUGCUCCUGCUUAUUUGAAUGAGAUGGUGAGCCCAUUUGGUUCUAAUCUCUAUUUUUUGGACUUCCCUGAGGAUUUCAUUGUUCUAAAGUGCCUGCGCUACUAAAGUAGCAGGGUCUAAGUUUCCCUAAAUCCUCAGCAGGCAGAAUACAAAAUUUUCCCAAGGCAGCACAUGUCAACUUGCACAUGUGGAGUUGUCUCAAUACCAAUUCUGCUUUGCUGACUCCUAUCCUCACACCUAAGCCCAGAGUUCCAGAGGUGUCAAACUACUCUGGGGCCUUCUACUUCGAUCAUCCUUGUCUUCAGGUCCCUGAGGUGCUUUACUGCCUCAGGGCUUUCUGAUAGAGCACUUGGGCUGUGGAAACUGGAAAAAUGCCCAGUGCUUUGCCUGCCUAACUCCUCUGACUAGAUUCUCUUCUUAGUGCCAAUGGGCUUCUGGGUGUCCCUUCCCAACCUAAGGUAGAUGAAGGUUUUUAUUUUUUAUUUCUUAAUCACCAAUGCAUUUGGGGCUCUUUUAUUUUAUCUUUCCUGGACUACUUAUGUGAGAAUUGGGUUAUUAAAAUUAGAUCUAUUUAGUCUGCCUUGAUUCCAACCCCUUUGUUUUACAGAUGAAGAAACUGAGACGGGGAAAUAAAAUAGUUUCCCUAAGACCACACAGUAAGUACCAGAAGCUGAAUUUAGCAUAGUACCUGCCACAUAAUAAGCAUAUAAUGUUUACUGAAUUUUGAAUUUGAAACCAGGUCCUUUGACCCCAGAUAUAGUUCUUUUUAUAUUGUACUCUGCUAUAUAUCACCAUUUCAAAAAUAGUUUUGAUUUCAAUUUCUAUAAUCUUGUCCUCAAUUCAGAAUUUCUACUUCUGUAUUUACUUAGCGGUUACUCAAGUUUCCAGGUACAAUCUGGAUAGACAAAAAAAAAAAAAAAAAAAAGGAAUAGCUCAGGAGCUUUUAUCAAUGAAUUUUCUUGUUUUGGGUGAGCAAAAACACAUUAAAAGCAAAAUUUUCCAUGUAGCAUUUUUUAACAGUAUGAUACAUUAUGCUAAUUGUUUUAGUAAUGUUGAACAAUUCUCGUAUUUCCUAGUGCAUAUUCAAUCUGAUCACAAUGAUUUUGAAAUAUUUCCAGUUUUUACAUUAAUGCUCAAUAGCCUAACUUGUAUACCAAGAACAUUUUCUCAUAGAAGAAAUUUGUCAGAAUGCUUUUUAACUUUUAUUUUUAAACAAUUUAUAAACAUAGUUAAAACUUCAAAAAAAAAAUCCACAUCUUUUUCAGGAAUUUUGGUUGCAUUUAUGGCCAAACUGUGUUUUCUUUGAAGUUUUGGAUGUUUUGUAGUCAUUCUUUUCUUCUGGUUUUCUGGCUUGGAAAUACCGGUCACCACAUUAGCUUUUUACAGUGAGAUUCUUUUUUUCUUUUUUUAAAUGAUCAUUCUUCCAGCCUACUUCCUGACUUUGGACUUAGCACUGGGCUCUGGGCAGUUCUAGGGUAAUGAAUAGACUGGUCUUCCUAAUGUUUCCUUGGAGUGAAUAGUAUUACUCUAGGAUCCCAAAGUUCAGAUAACUGCAAGUUCAGUGUUUCCAAAGUGAAAACACAUGGGGCAGUGUCUUGAUUUCUAACCUGUUGGUUUGAGAUAUACAAGUUCCUGAGACCUAGUUUGAGUGUGAACAACAAGCCUUGGGGUUUACAGAGUUUGGAGUUCCAGUAGACUGCUACUGAACUUCCCUUUGGUCUGGGAUUCCUGCCCUCAUUACUCUUUGGCAGACUUCAGUCCAGAAAAUGCAAUCAGGAUGCUGUUCUGCUUCUGGAAUCCUAAAGUCUGAGCCAUAUGGCUUGCUUCGAACCAUUCUUUCCUCAGCAGAGUAAGGCCCCAAACUACUCUUUACCCUGAAGCACCUCAAGCAGAGAUGCCUCUUCUUGGCGGCAAGAGCUGCCAGUUGGCACCUAUCCCUGCAUCCCACACAAGCUGAGGCCCUUCUUGGCCCAGUGCACAGACUCUCCAUGCAGUGGAAUGUUCCUUGUGUCUCACUUCGGAUCACAGACCUGUUUAUCUGCCUGUGCUGCUCUAACUGGAAAAAUACCUCCCUGUAAUUUUUCUUGGAUUUCCCUAUCAGUGUUUAGUCUGGUCCAUUUUCUAGAUCUGUUUGGGAGAUUAGGGGAAGGAAUAGUUUGAUGUUAUUUCUUGCUACUCCGUGAUAUUGGCUCUGCCUCCCUCUUCUGUGAAUUUUUAAAAACUUAUCAGGUGCCUUUAAAAAAAAACAAAAUAA